rnacentral:rRNA from 1 species
CCUGUGAAACCCAAAAGAUCGAAUGGGGAGAUCAUCGUCAGCGAUCCUGGUGUUUGUACGGCUCGCGAUGUCGGGGAUCUCGGUCCCGCGGCACGCGUCCGUAUGUUCCUCAAACCAGGUGUCGUCGGCGUGCACUUCUCCCCUAGUAGGACGUCGCGACCCGUUGGGUGUCGGUCUACGGCCCGGGUGGGAGCCUGGACUGAGUGCGCUUCGCGCCGCUACUCGGUCCAGACCCCCGGUUGCCCGACCGGCUGCCCGGCGGUACUCGCACGGUAUCGAGCCGCAAAUAUUCGAACUGCGUCCGGCCCGGCGCAAGCGAGACCACUGUUACCCGGACGCACGGAUCCAAUGCCGUCGCCGGGCUUGGUCGGCUGCUGGCCGCCGGUGCCCUUGGACUGGCUCAACCAUUAUGAUACCGGUC